UUGUGCACCUGUAUGCCGCAGAGACUCAGAGUGAUGGAGACAGAGACAGAGAUGAGAACGUCGAGAAGAACCAGACACUCAAAGUUACAAGGAAGAUUCACCACCAACCGGUCAGCUCUGUCUGUGUUUGAUUAAAAGUUGAUCAGCUGGAUUCUUGCUUGUUGUCGACGAGUGUUGAUUCUGUCGCCUCUGUGUCCGAUCGAAGAUUUGAAGAGAAGAGAGAGACUGAGACUGACUAAGGGAGGGGAGGGUCGUUGCGUCGAAGUGGAGAGUUGAGCCGAAUGGGUCGGGACUAGGGACGUCGCCGUCGACGAGACUUGAAGUGGUGGCACGAUACUGCGACAAUCGUCACAACAACGAGAGAUGUGCUUCAUCUUAUGUGACGCAUUUUGAAGCGUUGCUCCAGCUUUAAUUAGUUUGUAUGGAUAUAUAGAUUUUUUUUUUUUUGCUAAGGUGUAGAUAUAUAGAUAUAAAUAGAUAUGGAUUUGACAAGAACUGUGAUAACCACUUAGUGAUGUCUUUUAGUAUUGGGCUGUGAUCUCAUGGGCCAAGGCCAUGGGCCAUGCAAAGCUAAUUAAAGAAAUCCAUCCUCAGUUCAAACUA